GCCCUUGAGAACGCUGUGCCUCAGGUGGCCUCUGGUCAAGGGAGGGAGGCUGCAAGGUGUAGGCCGGCUGGACGCGAGACAGACAGAGCCCAGCCCCGCCUAAACCAGCUGACCCAGCCGGCCCCAGACGCAGAGCAAGAAAUGAAUGCACACUUAAUGCCACAGAGACCUGAGCUUUGGUAACACAGCAACAUCAGAGUGUCCUUGGGCAACAAAGGAAAAAAUAUGGAAAACGAGGGGGUCAAGAUAUUUUGCGCAGAUUCACACUGUGGACCUCGCCAAGCUCACAGCUGGAGGAACUUCCCUGAGGAUGAACCCUGCCUGGAGUCUCACCCACAUCUGACUUAGAUGAGCCUCUCAGCCUUGGACUUCUGAGUUGGUGCUAGAAGGAGGGCUUGAAUUGCCUAUAGCUUCAUCUGGUUCUGAUUCUGCAUUUCUGUGAGUUAUAUUAACUCAACCCGGUUCCUCCACUUACCCCCUUUACUGAAUUCCAAAGGGGGAAAUGGAAUUUCCUCUGCGGAGAGAGAAGAGUGCUAUGGGACGAACGUCUGCACCCCCAAACUCUCGUGUGGAAGUCCCCACCCAAUGACAGCGUCUGGAGGCGAGGCCUUGGGAGACCAGAGGGUUCGGAUGAGAUCGCAGCUGGAGCCCUCCAUGAUGGGCCUGUGUGCUUACAAGGGGAUGAAGGGUCAGCCACCUGCGUCUGCGAGGCUGGGUGCAAGAGGAAAGCAGCCCUCUGAGCCAGGAAGAGGGCCCUCCACAGAGCCAGCCGUGCUGGUGCCCACCCCAGACUUCCAGCCUCCAGGCCUGGGAGAAGCAGCCACAGCCCCGGGAGAAUCCCAGGCCAGGAGGCCACGGAAGGGGCAGGGGGCCCCAGCCCUGCCACGGCUUGAACUCCCUUGCUUACAAGAACGCAGCUUUGCUUCCAGCCCAGAAGUAAGGAGGCGGAAUCUGGAGGAAGCGCUCUCUCCAGAACGCAGCCUUUCUGCGCCCGAGUCGGUGGUCAGUCUCCCGUGCUGACCAGCAUGGGAAAAUCAAUUAUUACAAGUCACUCGUCCUCCUCCUACAGGAGAAGCAGAGACAAGCGGACAGGCGCAUCAACCAGAGAGCACUCAGCCUCAAGCCAGAUCACGCCACCCACCCAUCCGGCAAGCGGGAAGGGCCCGGCUCCAUCCCUGUGUAUCUGAGAAGGACAGUCUCCUCCAUUCCAGUUUCAUGAGGGCCCGGGAUGGCCCUGUUUUCAGUCCCAAAUCAGUUUCAGGCCUGUUUCUCAAUUUAAAAAUACAAAUUGAGUCUUCAUUUUGAAAUUCUCUCAGUUUCUGACUCUCCAUUAUAGAUCUCGAGCAUGGCGCAUCCAAUUAAAAGCCCCUCAAAGCGAGAUGAUUUCUUUCCAGCUUACCCCCCACCCUGGGCCGAGGGUAUCUAAAUGUGCAAUUGACCAAAAUAAACAGCUCCAUUUCUGAAUUGAGAAUGUCAGCUUCAUCAGCCUGGGGAGACACAGCGUCUUCUUUCUACAGCAGAUGACUCCUGAGUCACGGUUGAAAAUAUCCUCACUCGUUUCAAUAAAGGUAAUGAUUUCAACUGAUUUAAAACUAAGUCCCGUAUCAAGGAAAAGAUUUUUGGUGUAUUUUCUGUGGAAGUAAAAAUACUAUUCAAAAUCUAAAGCCUGUGGUUCAGGAGAAAUUAAAUAUUGAAAGUGCUCUUUGGGCUUUAAAUGACACGAGAUGUUUCUGAAUGUUAUAGUUUAAAAAUACUCUCUAAGAAUACAAGCCAAAUGACUGCAGGAUUAUAAGUUCCCUCUCCCAGUUGUUCAGGUAUUAAAAGCAGGCACGAGUAAGAAUAGCCUUCAGAAGAACUAAUAAACAGCCAGGAGCGCUCCCGCCCCACGGACCUGCCCUCUCACCACAGCCCUCCGCCUAACAGCACCGACCUGUCCUCUCUAGAAAGAUAAAUCAAAAACAAAAACAUGACUCUGACGACGGGUGGAGGGCACAUUCUUGGGUUCUUCCCUUGGAAGCAACACCCUGGCUGCAGAGGGGCCUGGUAGUGCCUGGAAUUCAACUUCCCCAGUGGGUGCUCGGCCGGGCUCAGUCCCCACCUACCUUCCGCUCCCAGUAGAGACUGAUGGCUGAUGAACAAAGCACUGCCCUGCCCAGCCCACCUCCCCCAAGACGAAGCCUGUCCCAGGGCCAGAGCUGCCUCUCCCUGCAGGCCCUGCGGCUCACGUCUUCUCCUUCACCCAAGUGGUCACAUCUCUCCAUUUUGAGAACAAAACCCAAUAAGAUAAAACCCAGCUGCACACAAUUCACAUUAGCCAAAGGAUGGAAAUAACGUAAAUGUCCAUUGACUGAUGGACGUUUAGUGUGUGUCAAGACAGUGGAAUAGUAUUCAGCCAUGAAAAGGAUUGAAGUAUCAAGAAGAGCUAUGA